GGGACUUGGGAGGAUGGUGGGGUGCCUAGGUAGUAAAGCACUGAAAACUUAGGGUUCUGGGUGCUGCCUGCUCUGGGUGAAGUUGUGUCUCGUCAUCACUAAGAAUCAGGUGAGGGUUAUGGAAAGAAGUCAUGGAGAACGCUGGCUGCUGUUGCUGGGCUUGUCUCUGUUGGGCCUGGCUGUGGUAGAUGGUGUGGUCUGUCCCUGGCUGUGAUGCCAGAUGUGGCCUUUUAUCAGGCAGCUUAGUCCUCCGGCCUCAUGGGAAGACUCUUGCAAGCAGGCACCGUAGUCACUUCUGGAGCUCAAGCCUGGCCCAGCUCCUUGCCCUGGCCCAGCCCACGGUCAGGCUUGAUGCCAUGUCUCAUUUUCCUGCUUAGGGAAACAGGUGACGGUCAGAGAGUCCUUUUUUUUUGACUCUAACCUAAAUACUUCUGCUGUUCUGGAAAGUCAGAUUUUUUCCUUUUUGUUCAUGGAAAUGAAUUAAGGAGAGAGACAGGAGUUUUAGAUAGCUAAGACUAUCUUUGAGAAGUCCCUUCUCCACUUGUAAUUUAGGAAGCUGCAUUUUAAGUGUGCAGCCUCUUUCCCCCUCUCCCAGGCAGCUCGAGCUCUCCACUCUCCAGACUGAGCACAGCUCCUCUCCUCCCUGAGAACUGGGUUCCUGCUGCUCACAAACACCCCUUGGGCUUAAGGAGUUUUGGUUUGGUGGGUCAGUGGCAAGACACAUUGAUCAAGAGACACUGGAUUCCUUGAUACCUUCGUGUCACUCUCUAAGCCUCCUUGAGUCCAUCGUCUCACUGGCUCCCUCAGGCUGCGGCCCUGGCCCCUGAGAUGGUGAUGACGGCCCACACGAGGUAUGAUUUGGAGUUUAGCCAGGAAAGCCCUAGUUCCCCAAAUACCUCUUCCCUCGCCUGACAUGCCGGAAGUGCUGCCAUUAGCUGCUGCAUCCCUUUCCCUGACCAUGGUGGCAUCUCAUGCUCAGACUAGCCCUCUGCGGUUCACACUGCACUCCUACUUCAUAGAGGGGACACUGGGCACCACUUUUCCCCUGUUCACUUAACAUGGUGGCCUCUCAACAGUGGGACUUUUCAUGGCUAUGUGGGAGGUGGCUAGGCUACCAUUUAUUACUACCUUUCCUGGAGAUGAAGGUUUCUUUUUAGUAGCUCAACUGGGGAGGCAAAUUGCAGGCAUCCUCAAGGCCCUAACCAGGGGCCUCACUUUCUGCAUCUCAGGAAUUGAGGGUGGCCCUGGCCGUCUUGUGAACUCUCUCUAACCUCCAGACGGACUUCCUUUCCAAGGUGUUUGAGGAGGCCAAGUGAAUGCUGGGUUGAGGUGGGAAUGCUCUGCCUUGGUCCUCUCAUCUUCUACUGAGUCAUGAGCCACCUUCCUUGGGCAGACUUCAUUUACUUCGGCCGUUAGUAGUGUUUGUUUAUCCUGUUUUCCCCAAAGUAUCUUUGAACUCAGGCCUUUCACCAGGGACCCAUCUGCUGGCCUGUUGUGCUGAACCUUUGGUCUAGCCACAUCUUCAGGAGAAGACAGGUCUCCUAAGGUAGCCCUAAUUAGGGCGAGGGCACUUCCAGGACCAGUGAGGCUGAUGGGCCUGGUCCCAAGGGUGCUCUUGACAAGAUGGACAGGGGAAGGCCUGCUCAGCCUGUUAGCCCCGUAGCCCAAGCCCAUGCAUUCAGGUCUGCCUGCUGUGUAGCAUUCCUGGAGAGGGGUCUGUGAGGCUGGCUUCUCACUCACUCGAGGCAGAACUCAUUGUCUGGGAAGGAGGCGGCCAGUCUAGACCUGAAGCCCCCGGCUCUUCAAGAAGGGGCUUCCCUCACAGAGGAGUGAGGUGGCUCUGCUCGGCCUUAGCCCUUCCUCCGCCCCGGGGGUUCAGGAGGUAUGGAGAAGGCUGAGUGUAGUUGUGGGUAGAAAACCUCGCCCUCCUGCACGGUUACGCACACGACGUUGGCCUCCUGGCUGUAGCUCACUCACUCUGGUCUGGUGAUGGCCACGGUAGUUUUUAGAAAUCUAUUUAAAAUAUCUAUCUGUAUCUAUUUACUGUGUUUUUUCUGAAUACGCAAGUGUAAAUAGUAUAAUUUGCAGUGCAAAGUCCUUGGCAAUAACUUUAUGUUGUAUAUUAUGUUUAAAAAACAUUGGAAAACGUGACCACCGUGGAUUGUCCUUCCCCUCUGGGGCAAUGAUUACAUGUAGGACUCUGAACUUUAUAAACCUUCGGCGUGGUUGAAGCAGCAGCCUGCAUGUGUGGACUGUCACCAGUGCCUCGCCCAGAGAUGCCUGGCCUUCAUCCAAAGGGACUCUCUGCCACCUCGACUCCCACAGGCAGCACCCACACUGUGGCUCCUUCGCACUGACUGUGUUGGACUCUGCCAUAGACUGACCCUCUUGUCUGGCUGCUGCAGUUUGUCUGUCAUGCCCUGACAUGUUGCAUUUUCCCCAUUUGGAUGAUUAAAAAUAAAAGCUUCUGUCUUAAACAGCAAUGGGCUGAACUGUUCUAUGCAGGACCUACUCUGGUCAAACGAAGGCUCUGACUUUGAUGAAAGGGUCAAGUGCAGGACCACUUCCUGGCCCUUAUGACUUUCCUGGUCAGUACAUGUGGCAGGAUCUUUCCUUCAUGCAAAGGGAUGAGGGGACGAGGGGACAAGGCCUGAUUCCUGUUAUGGUCCUUAAAACCCUCUGCUUCUCUGCUAAUGGUGCAACAAGUUUACUCAGCCUGAAACUCACCCAGUACCCCGGCACAGCGAGUGGUGAGGGAUCGAUGCUGAGUGAGUCCUGAAUCCUAAACCUGAGAAUUUACCAGGCGCCUUUCACACACCUCACUCUCAAUCCUCACACCUGUUGCCCAGGGUUGGUGUUACCCAGACAUUACAGAUCAGGACAGUAAGGCUCAGAGGUAAAGGGACUUGCCCAAGAACGUGAAGCUUCUAAAUAGCAGUAGCAAUUUGAAUCCAGAGCCAGAGCUCUUCCUACUGCUGCUGCCCGUGUGAGGUUCCUGCAGUUCACCUGCCCCAGUCACUUGGAGCCCAAGACCACAGUGAGGCCUCAGCCCACAGAGGAAUGAGAACAAAGAAGGGGUGGUCAGCCCAGGGCCUGCUGCUGCCCUCCAGGUAAGUGGAGAGCUGCGUGGACGAAGGCACUGGAUGUUUUUGCUUCACUUUAUAACUCAGGGCCCACCUUUCCCUGUACACUGUCAGUUUGGAUUUACCACCACACUAGAACUGACUGAAAGAAGGGCUGACUGGGCCAGGCCCACUGCUGCUCCCCUGCCCAGGGGCCCUGCUUCCAUCCUCAUGGCCAGGUUUACCUUUCUGGGCUUGAGGAAGAGCCAGGCUUUCUUGCCCAUGAUUGGCACAGGGAACAGCCUGUUGAGUUGACACUGGGGAGUGGAGGGAGCAUUCUUUCUCUUACUCUUGGGUCCUGGAAGAGAAGGUGGAGGUGGUGGUACUGGUAAAAAAGCUUGAAAUCCCAGCUCUUGUGAUCACAGCCACGCCUUUCACCUUUACUUUCAAAUCUGGGGGCAACAUCGCUUAACUCCCAGAGGUGUCUGACAACUGGAGGGAGAACAC
rnacentral:lncRNA from 1 species